rnacentral:rRNA from 1 species
UGCCUGGCGGCACUAGGGCGGUGGUCCCACCUGACCCCAUGCCGAACUCAGAAGUGAAACGCCGUAGCGCCGAUGGUAGUGUGGGGUCUCCCCAUGUGAGAGUAGGGAACUGCCAGGCAU